AUUGAACGCUGGCGGCAGGCCUAACACAUGCAAGUCGAGCGGAUGAAGGGAGCUUGCUCCUGGAUUCAGCGGCGGACGGGUGAGUAAUGCCUAGGAAUCUGCCUCGUAGUGGGGGAUAACGUCCGGAAACGGGCGCUAAUACCGCAUACGUCCUGAGGGAGAAAGUGGGGGAUCUUCGGACCUCACGCUAUCAGAUGAGCCUAGGUCGGAUUAGCUAGUUGGUGGGGUAAAGGCCUACCAAGGCGACGAUCCGUAACUGGUCUGAGAGGAUGAUCAGUCACACUGGAACUGAGACACGGUCCAGACUCCUACGGGAGGCAGCAGUGGGGAAUAUUGGACAAUGGGGGAAAGCCUGAUCCAGCCAUGCCGCGUGUGUGAAGAAGGUCUUCGGAUUGUAAAGCACUUUAAGUUGGGAGGAAGGGCAGUAAGUUAAUACCUUGCUGUUUUGACGUUACCAACAGAAUAAGCACCGGCUAACUUCGUG
rnacentral:rRNA from 1 species